ACCAAACCAAUCCAUUCACCUCUCAUCUUCUCUGAGACCCAAACCCUAGCCUCCCAUAUAUUCCACCGCUGCUCCGCCAGAACCACCCACCAAAAAUUGCCUCACGGCAGUUCAUGUGGGCCAAUCACCCUGAAAAUAGCAUCACAUACUCUCUUUCAUCUCCCUAUUCCAAAUAUCUAUUCCUUUUUCUUCAAAUCCGUCCAGGCCUUUUCGAAUCUUAAAUAAAAAAUUUAGCCAAAACUUGAACCCUUCCAAAUCAUUUCAAAUUCACACCCUAUGGUUCUUACCUCUAUCUGAAACCUAAACCACUUUUAACUCCUUUUAAAUCGGCCAUGAUUUCUUCGAAUUUUGGAUCUGGAUUCAGAAGAACCCUAAAAAUCCUCUUAUUCUUUUUUCCUGGUCGGAGGGUAGUCGAAUGGGCUUAAAACCUCCAUUAAUUAGUUAUUCUUGUCAAGAACAAUCGAUUAAUGGUAGUCAAAGUCCAUUCCAAAGGAUUUUUGGGCGAGUUUUCCAAUCUGAUUUGAUUUCGGAACAUUUUAGACAAAUCCUCUUUUUCUUGUGUUCAUUUAAAUCCUAUUUUUGUUUGUUUAUUGCAUGUUUAUGUUUUGGAUUGUUUAGACAACGAUUAGGCUUCUUCUCUUUUCCCUCUUGUAAUUCUUAAUUUGUUUUCGGCCAUCCUUUUAUUAAAGCAUGUUGAAUUUGUGGAAUUUAGGCUCCUUUAGUUUUCUGUUGGAUUGUUGCUUUAUUUUGCCGCCUUGUCCAUAGAUUCCUGAUCAUCUGAUGGCUAGUUCUUGAUUAAUUGUUUAAUCAGUGAUUGGUUAAGUUUCUAUGCCUGAAUUUCAUGAUAGGGAUUCAAAUAAACUUGUCUCCCUGGUUCUGAUUCCUUUUGUUAGUUUCCAGAUUAAAUUUUUGUGUUUUGAUUGGUUAACCUACUGAUCUGUAUGCUCGAUUAGUCUAAAUUCUAGGUUAUCCUAAUUAUUUCUGUAAUUAAUUAGGAAAAAAUAGUCUUAAUAAAGAUAGACUGACUCAAUUUUAAAGUUACAAUAGCUUUUGUUAGAUUUCCACUUUUCCAUUAACAUCUGAUGCAUCUUGUGCUUUAUUUCAAGUUGUUGCCCUAAUUUGAAGAUUAGAUGAACUUUAAGGGGUUCAUUUGAAUUAAUAGAGUUUAGGUAAAACUGAAAUAAGCAGUAACAUAAAGGGUAAAAUGAGAUUUUUACUUAGGCUAAAAAUUAGAAAGUUCUAGAACUUAGGAAAGCUUUCCCUAUCCUUAGCCAAUGUUGAUAUUAGAUACGAGGAAAUGGACAUACAACUGUCAAAAGGGGGUUGCAAUAUUCUGAAUUUUAGAAAUUCAGGUUAGAAUAUUCCCUUUUGAUUCCAUUUCUUGCACACUUUAUAGAAGGGAACAAUUAUCACUUACACACAUGGAUUUCCAACACCAAUUUACUGCAUAAAAAAUCAUUCUCUCUUCUGCUGAAAAGAUUAGGUUUCAAAUUUUAGAAAAAUUUCCUCCUUGGUUUUCUGAAAAGAUGAAAAAAUGAUUUGAAGUAAAAGGUUCUCUCCUGGUUUUCUUUGGUUAAAAUCUCUGGGAUUCUAAGGCUGAACUUGGGUGUGAUUUGGUUGUGGUUUGCUGUUUACUGCUGCUCAUUAUCUUGGGGGAAAGCUCAACUGUUUUAGUGAUCUUUAUUUGGUCUUUCUUUGAAUAAUCUAUAGGUAUGUAACCACACUCUAGCUAUGAGAAUUAAUUUGUUUUUGUGCAAAUAUGAAGUUAUUCAAUACUAUGUGUGUAUAGUUGUAUGUUUCAACAAUAGAACUUAAUGUGUUGUUCAUUGUUCUUCAUCAGCUUUUCAUGUGUCUUUCUAUGCAUUUUAGUAUGUAGGAAAAUGUUGUUGAAAUAAUACAAAUAGUUGUGUCUCAUUAUAUCAUCUAGGUUAAGUUUUAUUUAUGACGCUUCUCUUUCUCUCUUUCAUCUGAUUCCUUUCACUCAAAGUACUGCUUUCAUUAUAUUUUUUAACUGUUUGGGUCAUGCGCUGUAGCCUGUUGGUUCAACCAACAAUUGGUUGGAUCAAUUGGCUUUGAGAGCUUUAAGGUGGGAUUUACAUGUUAAGAAAAGAAGAUGAGACUACUAUGAUUCUGAGUCGGAGCCGCUAGUGAUUUAUGUGUUUAACUUUCAACAUAGUUAAACUCAUGAAUAAUCAUCUUUCUUUGCAUUCUUGAGCUUUAAUUUAGGUCUGUCAAUAUAGCAUGAUACUAUGACUGAGGCAACCAUGUGAAUCUGACCUUCUCCCAUGGUCAAAUCCAUGAGGUACUUAAAAAACAAGGCUGAUUUAGCAAUAAGAAGUUUCAUGUUGGGAACCUGGGCAAAUAGCUUUGUAAGAAGCAGCUCUGUAGCUGGAUUCUUGCGAAUGUGGUGGUUUGGAUUCGAAGAAAUGAUGAAAGGAAAUUAUGGAAUCAAUAGAAGUCUUCAUUUUCCUAUACUUUGUCUCUUUAAAAUUUCUUGGAUGUCAGCUGUAAUUGUGUUGAUUCUCUAGGAGUUAAAACUUCAUCGUAUAAUUCUAGGACUCACAGAUUUGUAAAAUGGACUGUUAAUUUUAUAAUCCAGUUAGUUAUCAGUUAGCUUACAGGAGUGGGCUACUUAAUUGGUGCAAUAAAUGUAUUUGGAGAUGUCUGCGAAAUCUGGCAUUGAGUCAAAAUUAGGCUCAAACCCUGGGCCCAUUCAGUGCAAGUUUGACCUAUGCCAUUUGGGUUUAGGCAUUUGGACUUCACAAGUUGACCCGAUAGAAUUUAAUUCUUAAAUACAAAUCUUUAUUCAAUACAGUGUGAAUCUUAAUUUAUUAGAGCUAAUUUCCAAAUUAGAUCUUGCAUCAAUGUUCCAUAAGAAUUGUUUGAAUUUAAUCAUAUCAUCAUUAAUUAGUGUUUUGCGCUGGGAUGUGCGUUUUAGGACCUAUAAUUGUGAACCAGGUUUCUGGUUUAUGGGCUUUAUCGUAAGCCCGUUUCUCCACUUCCUUCAAAAUGAUUUAGUAGGGGCUCUGGCGCACUCCCUUUUUUACCCAAAAUAUCUUAACAACCUUUCUCAUUAAUU
rnacentral:lncRNA from 1 species